AAUUGGUCUUAUUAUUGUUGUAUUCAAUGUUAUCUUAUCGUUAGAUGACCACGUUUAACGUACUUAAACGUAUAAUCCUAAGAUAGCAUAUAACACAUGUAUUUAUGACAGUGGUGAAUUUUCUGUUGCAGCCUUCUGCCACAUCGACGCAAUUUGUAUAUAAUCAUCACUUAGGUGUGCACGGGGAGGACAAACAAUGGAAGUAUUAAAGCUUGAAGUUAAGAAGUACGGAAGUAAUGAAACGAUCAAUCGACAAGAGGUCGAUGCACCAGCAAUGUGUAAUUGGAUUGACUUGGACCGAUCUUCGCCGGAGGAUGUCGACCAGGAUGCGACCAGCAUCACACGCGACAACGGCAAACAAUCGAUCAACAUAAUCUUCGAGCACAUCACAUAUACUGUGAACCUCGGCUUCAGGAAAGGAAAAAAAGAGAUUUUACACGGAAUUAAUGGAAGGUUCCCAGCAAACAGUUGAUCGCUCUGAUGGGUCCAUCUGGUGCAGGGAAGUCCACGUUAUUCGAUGUACUCUCUGGCUUCCGCGUAACCGGAGUGGAUGGUACUAUAUUUGUCAACGGUCAUGUCCGGGAUCUCAACUCUUUCCGGAAGUACACUGCCUACAUUACACAGGAGGAUCGGUUGGAACCUUUACUCACUGUACUCGAAUAUAUGAAGAUCGCCGCCGAUUUAAAGCUGCCGGCGGAUACCUUACAAAAUAAAAAAGAAGCGACUAUUAAAGAAAUUCUCACGGCACUUGGUUUGUACGAGCACUUGCAUACGAGAGCCGGCCAAUUAAGUGGCGGUCAAAAAAGGCGACUGUCCAUCGCAUUAGAAUUGGUUAAUAAUCCCACGAUGAUGUUUCUUGAUGAGCCCACAACAGGUCUGGAUAGCUCAUCUUGCACGAAAAUUGUAAAUCUCCUAAAGCGGCUCGCACAAGAGGGUAAAACAAUAAUUUGUACUAUACAUCAGCCUAGUGCGUCCCUAUUCGAAUUGUUCGACCAGGUAUACGUGUUGGCAAAAGGCAGUUGCUUGUACCAAGGUGCAACGAACAAAUUAGUGCCAUAUCUUGAAGAUAUGCAAAUGCCAUGCCCGAUGUAUCACAAUCCUGCCGAUUACAUAAUCGAGCUUGCCUGUGGAGACCACGGUGAGGAUAAAAUAGAUAUACUAAAAACUGGAUCGCAAAAUGGAUCGAAAAAUUUUCAAUCGUUCGAUAAUCCUGAAGCUCCGAGAGAUGAUGAAAGUUUAACAGAGCUGUAUUCCUUGAAAAACUCACAUAUGAAAAAGAAUGGUGACUUACACGCAACGAAUUUUCUUCAUCAAAUCAAAGUUUUACUUCGACGUGGAUUCAUCAUGUCCAAACGAAACACGACUCUUACGCAUAUGCGCAUCGGAGUAAACAUACUUGUCGGUUUGAUGCUUGGAUCGGUCUUCUGGCAAUCGGGCGCUGAUGGCUCACGCGUUCUAGAUAACUACAAACUUCUCUUUUCUAUCCUCAUACAUCACAUGAUGACGACGAUGAUGCUUACCAUAGUAACCUUUCCAAUGCAGAUAGCUAUUCUUCUAAAGGAGCAUUUUAAUAGAUGGUACAGCUUGAAGGCAUUCUACAUGGCAAUGACACUGAUUGACAUGCCAAUCUCGAUACUAUGCUGCACCUUAUUUAGUGUAAUUGUCUAUGGCAUGUCGGCGCAACCGUUGGAAAUAAUACGAUUCUCCAUGUUCUUCAUCAUUAGCUUGUUGAUAAUGUUCAUAGGACAAAGUACCGGCCUUAUGAUAGGCGCUGUAUUCAACGUUGUGAAUGGUACAUUUAUUGGACCAACAUUGGCAGUAGCACUAAUGAUGUUCUCUGGAUUUGGAAUAUUGUUACGCGAUCUACCGUCUUAUCUAAAAUGGGGAAGCUACGUCAGUUAUCUACGAUAUGGUCUGGAAGGCUUUAUUGAUGCAAUCUACGGAUUGAACCGCCCUGUUCUACCGUGUGAAGAACUUUACUGCCAUUAUAGAUAUCCUACCAAAUUUCUCUCGGAUAUUGACAUGAAGGAAGGCCAAUUUUGGAACGACGUCAUGGCGCUCACUGCAAUACUCAUCAUCACGCGAUGCUGCACAUAUUUGCUUCUGCGGUGGAAGAUUGUAUGGACGCGAUAAAACUAAUACGAGCACAGUAUCGAAAAUACUGCCAGUUUAUUA
rnacentral:sRNA from 1 species